rnacentral:rRNA from 1 species
UUGAUCCUACGGGAGGCAGCAGUGGGGAAUAUUGGGCAAUGGGCGCAAGCCUGACCCAGCAACGCCGCGUGAAGGAAGAAGGCUUUCGGGUUGUAAACUUCUUUUAAGAGGGAAGAGCAGAAGACGGUACCUCUUGAAUAAGCCACGGCUAACUACGUGCCAGCGGCCGCGGUAAUACGUAGGUGGCAAGCGUUGUCCGGAUUUACUGGGUGUAAAGGGCGUGCAGCCGGGCUGACAAGUCAGAUGUGAAAUCCCGCGGCUCAACCGCGGAACUGCAUUUGAAACUGUUAGUCUUGAGUACAGGG